CGUGCGGCAGCUACCAUGCAGUCGAGCGGCUGACGGACUUCGCUCUGGUAUUCAGCGGCGGACGGGUGAGUAAUGUAUCGGAAUCUGCCUGGUAGUGGGGGACAACGUUUCGAAAGGAAAGCUAAUACCGCAUACGCCCUACGGGAGAAAGCGGGGGAUCUUCGGACCUUGCGCUAUCGGAUGAGCCUAUGUCGGAUUAGCUAGUUGGUGAGGUAACGGCUCACCAAGGCGACGAUCCGUAACUGGUCUGAGAGGAUGAUCAGUCACACUGGAACUGAGACACGGUCCAGACUCCUACGGGAGGCAGCAGUGGGGAAUUUUGGACAAUGGGGGAAAGCCUGAUCCAGCCAUGCCGCGUGUGCGAAGAAGGCCUUCGGGUUGUAAAGCACUUUUGGUUGGAAGGAAGGGCAGUGGGUUAAUACCUUGUUGUUCUGACGUUACCUGCAGAAUAAGCACCGGCUAACUUCGUGCCAGCAGCCGCGGUAAUACGAAGGGUGCAAGCGUUAAUCGGAAUUACUGGGCGUAAAGCGCGCGCACGUGGUUCGGUAAGUUAGAUGUGAAAUCCCCGAGCUCAACCUGGGAACUGCAUUUUUAACUGGGGAGCUAGAGUGUGGCAGAGGGAGGUGGAAUUCCGUGUGUAGCGCUGAAAUGCGUAUAUAUACGGAGGAACACCGAUGGCGAAGGGGCCUCCUGGGGUGACACUGACACUCAUGUGCAAAGCGUGGGGGAGCAAACACGAUUAGAUACCCUGUACUCCGCGCCCUCAUCAUGUCAACUAGCCAGUUGGGGCGGUCGGGGGGGUUUGCCCGCCCUCACCCCAAUUGACCCCCGGG
rnacentral:rRNA from 1 species